ACUGAACGCUGGCGGCAGGCCUAACACAUGCAGGUCGAACGAGUGGCGGACGGGUGAGUAAUGUCUGGAAAACUGACUGAUGGAUGGGGAUACGCAUUGGAAACGGUUGCUAAUACCGCAUAUAAUCGGAUGUGCCCUGAUUGGAUUAGCUAGUAGGUGGGGUAAAGGCUCACCUAGGCGACGAUCCCUAGCUGGUCUGAGAGGAUGACCAGCCACACUGGAACUGAGACACGGUCCAGACUCCUACGGGAGGCAGCAGUGGGGAAUAUUGCACAAUGGGCGCAAGCCUGAUGCAGCCAUGCCGCGUGUAUGAAGAAGGCCUUCGGGUUGUAAAGUACUUUCAGCGGGGAGGCGUUACCCGCAGAAGAAGCACCGGCUAACUCCGUGCCAGCAGCCGCGGUAAUAC
rnacentral:rRNA from 1 species